rnacentral:rRNA from 1 species
AUGACCAACAACUUCUUGACCACCAUACGGAGCCUCAAGCUGAUCGAGGGGUGCAAGGCCGCGCAAAUCUACCCCUUCAACUCCGCGGCCUCCACGUCUGGCGGCUCCGGGGAUGGAGGGGGCGGGGCCAAGCUGCUCCCGCUGCCGCCGCCGCGCAGCGUCUCCCUGAUGUCCGCGUCGCUCUGCUACCCGCACGCGCCCGCCACUUCGGGGGCCUUCUCUUCCGAGUCGACCCUCCCCUGCGGCCUCCCGGCGGCCGCCGCGCUCGAGCCGGCGCUUGACGCGUGCCUUCGCCCCGUUGACCAUGUCUCGGCGCUCGCGGCGUCGUUCCGGCGGAUGUCGUCGGCCGAGACGAAAGGCGACGACCUCUGCGAUGUGUACCUGGAGCAGCACGCGCUGUUCCACGCGCUCGGGGACCCCCGGCUGCUGCGCCGCGCGCUCCGUGCCGCGCGCGUCCACGCCACCGACUCGCACCGCCGCGUCGUGCUCGCCGCCUGGCUCCGGCACGAGCGCCGGGAGGACGAGUUCGACCCGAUGCCGCCGCCUCUCGAUCCCUGCGGCCCAACGACCCCGCUCCUCGAGUGCCCCCGCUCCGCGGUCUUCGCCACGGAGUCCUCCGGCGUGGAUCCCGUCUGCCCCUGCCGCCGCACUCCACCUCCUCCUCCUCGCCCUCCGCGCUUGAGGCGCGACACAAUUUUGAGGCGCAACGCAUCGAUCGCCUUCGAUGAGAGCGAGGAAGAAGAAGAAGAUGAGACCAAUGACUUGUGGUUCGUCAUCGGCCAGGAGGAGGUGGCGUGCGAGCGUUCCUGCAUCGCCGCGCUAGCGAAGCCGCUCAACACGCUCCUCUACGGCGGGUUCGCCGAGGCGCGCCGCGACCACAUUGACUUCAGCCGCGACGGCAUCUCGGCGCGUGGCAUGCGCGCCGUCGCCGCCUACAGCCGACACGGCCGCCUCGACGACUUCCCUCCGGACACCAUGCUCGAGCUCCUCGCCUUCGCCAACAAGUUCUGCUGCGAUGGCCUCAAGGUCGCCUGCGACAACAAGCUCGCCUCCAUGGUGCGCGGCGUGGACGAAGCCCUCUCCCUCAUCGACCUCGGCCUCGAGGAGGCCGCCCAUCUCCUCGUCGCCACCUGCCUCCAGGCCUUCCUGCGGGAGCUCCCCAAGUCGCUGUCCCACCCCGAGGUGGCGCGUCUGCUCUGCAGCCCGGAGGGCAGGGAGCGCCUCGACGCCGCCGGGAACGCGUCCUUCGCGCUCUACUACUUCCUCUCGUACGUCGCCAUGGAGGAGGACAUGAGGUCCAACACCACGGUGAUGCUCCUGGAGCGGCUAUGGGAAUGCGCAGAGUUGCCAUGGCACAAACAGUUGGCACUGCACCAGCUCGGGUGCGUCAUGCUGGAGCGCGGCGAGUUCAAGGACGCGCAGGAGUGGUUCGAGGAGGCCGUCGCGGAAGGCCAUGUGUACUCGCUCGCCGGAGUAGCGCGCGCCAAGUUCAAGUGCGGGCACAAGUACAUGGCCUACAAGCUGAUGAACAGGGUGGUCACGGACUACGAUCCUGCCGGGUGGAUGUACCAAGAACGCGCCGUGUACUGCGUGGGGAAGGAGAAGAUGGCUGAUCUCCGGACGGCGACGCAGCUCGACCCGACGCUGACUUACCCGUACAAGUACCGUGCCGCCGCCUUGCUGGAGGAGGACAAGAUGGAGCGUGCGCUGGAAGAGAUCGACAAGGUGCUCAGCUUCAGGAUGGCGACCGACUGCCUCGAGCUCCGGGCGUGGUUCUACCUUGUGGCUGGGGACUUCGAGGCUGCCGUGCGGGAUGUCAGGGCCAUCUUGACGCUGGAUCCGACCUACAUGAUGUUCCAUGGUAAAAUGCACGGGGAGCAGCUGAUCGAGCUCCUCCGAGGGCAAGUGCAGCAGCGGGACAUGGCGGAUUGUUGGUUGCAGCUCUACGACCGGUGGUCAGGGGUGGACGACAUCGGCUCUCUGGCAGUUGUCCAGCAGAUGCUCGCCAGGGAACCCGGGAACAGCAGCUUGCGGUUCCGGCAGUCGCUACUCCUGUUAAGGCUAAAUUGUCAGAAGGCUGCUAUGCGUAGCUUGCGGUUAGCACGGAAUAGUUCGAUUCAUGACCAUGAGAGACUUGUAUACGAAGGAUGGAUCUUAUACGACACCGGGCAUCGCGAUGAAGCACUUGAGAAGGCCGAGCAAUCACUCAGUCUCCAAAGAUCAUUCGAAGCAUUUUUCCUAAAGGCUUAUGCUCUAGGGGACUCUAGCCUUGACGUCGAAUCUGCGCUUUCUGUUGUUCAGCUUCUAGAGCAUGCUAACAGUUGUGCAUCUGACAACCUACGGAAGGGGCAAGCAUACAACAAUAUGGGGAGCAUAUAUGUGGACUGUGAUUUGCUGGAUGAGGCAACUGAGUGCUACAGCAUAGCACUGAGCAUCAAGCAUACACGGGCACACCAGGGUCUGGCUCGGGUCCAUUUCUUGAAGAAUAGGAAAAAGGCUGCAUUUGAUGAGAUGACAUCGCUCCUAAAGAUUGCCAAAAACAGCGCUUCGGCGUAUGAAAAACGGUCGGAAUAUGCCGAGCGGGACGCUGCGAAAAGUGAUCUCAAUAUGGCGACCUUGUUGGAUCCAACCAGGACCUACCCUUACAGAUACAGAGCAGCUGUUCUGAUGGACGAGAACAAGGAGGAGGAGGCGAUCGGAGAGCUGACGCAAGCGCUGGCUUUCAAGCCGGACCUCCAGCUGCUCCACCUCCGCGCGGCCUUCCAGGACUCCAUGGGCGACAGCGCGAGCACCCUGCGCGACUGCGAGGCCGCGCUGUGCAUGCACCCGGAGCACGGAGACACCCUGGAGCUCUACAACAAGGCUUCCGCCAAGGCUGAGCAAUCCGAGAGCUAG